rnacentral:rRNA from 1 species
UACGUAGGUGGCAAGCGUUGUCCGGAUUUACUGGGCGUAAAGAGCGCGCAGGCGGUCGUUCAAGUCGCGUGUGAAAGCCCCCGGCUCAACUGGGGAGGGUCACGCGAUACUGAUCGACUCGAAGGCAGGAGAGGGUAGUGGAAUUCCCGGUGUAGUGGUGAAAUGCGUAGAUAUCGGGAGGAACACCAGUGGCGAAGGCGACUACCUGGCCUGUUCUUGACGCUGAGGCACGAAAGCCAGGGGAGCAAACGGG